rnacentral:rRNA from 1 species
AUUGAACGCUGGCGGCAUGCCUAACACAUGCAAGUCGAGCGAGCGGCGGACGGGUGAGUAAUGUAUGGGGACUGCCCGAUAGCGGGGGAUAACUACUGGAAACGGUGGCUAAUACCGCAUACUAUCGGAAGACCCAUAUGGGAUUAGCGCGUUGGUGUGGUAAAGGCGCACCUAGGCGACGAUCCCUAGCUGGUUUGAGAGGCUGAUAAGCCACACUGGGACUGAGACACGGCCCAGACUCCUACGGAGGCAGCAGUGGUGAAUAGUGCACAAUGGGCGCAAGCCUGAUGCAGCCAUGCCGCGUGUAUGAUGAAGGCCUUAGGGUUGUAAAGUACUUUCAGCGGGGAGGCGUUACCCGCAGAAGAAGAACCGGCUAACUCCGUGCCAGCAGCCGCGGUAAUAC